rnacentral:rRNA from 1 species
UACGAAGGGGACUAGCGUUGUUCGGAAUCACUGGGCGUAAAGCGCACGUAGGCGGAUUUGUAAGUCAGGGGUGAAAUCCCGGGGCUCAACCUCGGAACUGCCUUUGAUACUGCGAGUCUUGAGUCCGAUAGAGGUGGGUGGAAUUCCUAGUGUAGAGGUGAAAUUCGUAGAUAUUAGGAAGAACACCAGUGGCGAAGGCGGCCCACUGGAUCGGUACUGACGCUGAGACGCGAAAGCGUGGGGAGCGAACAGG